rnacentral:sRNA from 1 species
UUAUAUGGCUGAUUCAAAGCUUAAUUAUAACCUUUCAUCCAACCCCUUAAUCCUAGAAAUAAAAGGAAAAGAUAGUCACCCAUGUUGUUUUCAAGUUGUAGUAGCAUUCUUUUG